rnacentral:rRNA from 1 species
CUACGGGUUGCUCCAGUGGGGAAUAUUGGACAAUGGGGGAAACCCUGAUCCAGCAAUGCCGCGUGUGUGAAGAAGGCCUGCGGGUUGUAAAGCACUUUCGGUUGGGAGGACUGCUUCUAGCACUAAUAUUGUUGGAAGUUGACGUUACCUUCAGAAGAAGCACCGGCUAACUCCGUGCCAGCAGCCGCGGUAAUGCGGAGGGUGCAAGGGUUAAUCGGAAUUACUGGGCGUAAAGCGCGCGUAGGCGGCUAGAUCAGUCGGGUGUGAAAGCCCCGGGCUUAACCUGGGAACUGCAUCCGAUACUGUCUAGCUUGAGUACAGGAGAGGAGAGUGGAAUUCCACAUGUAGCGGUGAAAUGCGUAGAUAUGUGGAGGAACACCAAUGGCGAAGGCAGCUCUCUGGCCUGAUACUGACGCUGAGGUGCGAAAGCGUGGGGAGCAAACAGGAUUAGAUACCCUUGUAGUC